GCAGUGGUGGUCCAGUGGUAGAAUCAUUGCCUUCCAUGCUGAAGAUCAAGGUUCGAUUCCUGGCCAGUGCA
rnacentral:tRNA from 1 species